rnacentral:lncRNA from 1 species
AGCUCUCAUAAAGCUUUCACAGCUUCUUCUUUAGAAGAGAAUGUGACAUAAGAAAACCCUUUUGACCUUCAUUUGACAUCAUCCGUUACAAAAUCCACUGAAGCGACAAAAAAUUUGAAGAAGACAAAAGAAAUGUGUAAAAUGCAGCUGCGUCAAGAAAUUCCAAACUAAAAAUGAUGUUAAAAUUUAAGAGUCUGACCUCCAAGUACUCUGCAAUAUUGAGAAAAUGCUAGGGUUAAUGUCUCUUAUGUGUUUGAGAAAGAUACACCUGCAACAAAUUGAGCAUUCAGUUUUAGUGACAGUAGGAUAACUGAAACUCACAUAAGAAGAAUCUCAUGAGAUCUGCCCUAAGUCAAAAGACGAUGAUGUUACAUAAGAAGCAAAUUCACACAUACAGACGCAACAUAAAACAGAAAAAAAAAAUCAAAAUAGCGUGUCUAAGACAUAAGAAACCACUGAAACUCACAAGGAGAAGAUGAUGCUUUUACAUCUAAAAGUUUGAAACUUCAGGAUUGUUCAAACUGCGAGUAGGAAGUUUGAGACUGAUGUUCAUGGGAUGAAAACUGACCCUUUUAUAGGUGGAGAUCCACCGCCUCUAAGAGGCAUUGAAUGAGGUAAGGGAGUUAAGAAGGUUGUGUUAAAGGUGAAUGGUUAAUGCAUCCCGUAACGUUUCAGAGGAGAUGAAUUGCAGACAAACCGACAGGAACAGAGCUCGACCCAGAGAUUGGAACCAAGAUUCGUCUUACACAACUUUCCAGAAACUCUUCAUCAGUUUAUCAGAGCAGAGGAUAAUGAACACGACAAACCCUGGAAUUCCAUUGUUUCAGAACAUGAAGAAGGUGAUUGUUUCUGAAUGGGGCUAAACUUUUGUUUUGCUAUCAGCCCAAAUAAGAUAUCAAAGCCCAAUUGUAAACUGUAAAGUCCAAUUUAACCAAGAAUAAAUGAAACGCAGCGUGUAGCUUUAGGAGACACGUGUCGCUCUCUUAGAGCCCGAAUUUCUGACGUGUCUGCCUACGUGGCGCUUUAAGGAGAGAAUAAAACACUCUUUUAUAAUAAUAGAUUAUUAUUUGUAACAUUUCAGAUCAUUAGCGAGAUAAAGCACCUGUUUAGGCUGAAAAAAUGUUUCUAGCUAUAUUUUUCCUAGCUAUUACGAUUUUUUUUCCGAGCUGCUUCUGUGCAUCAUUGUUUUCUUUUUCUUUUUCGA